rnacentral:rRNA from 1 species
AUGGAUAUUGUCACGAGUGCCAUUGCCAAGCUGAUCCCCAAGCUGGCCGACCUACUUGUGGGGGAGUACAAGCUGCACAAGAACGUCAAGAAAAAUAUCGAGGACCUCCUGAAGGAGCUUGAGAGCAUGAACGUUGCCCUCAUCAAGAUUGGUGAGGUGCCGCGGGACCAGCUCGACAAACAAGACAAGCUCUGGGCCGAUGAUGUCAGAGAGCUCUCCUAUGUCAUCGAGGAUGUCGUUGACAAGUUCCUCGUACGAGUCGACCACAUUCAGCCUGACGACGCCACAAACAAAUUCAAGGGGCUCAUGAAGAGGACGACCAAGUUGCUGAAGAAAGUCAAGGAUAAGUAUGGGAUAGCUCACGCAAUCAAGGACAUCCAGGAGCAACUCCAGAAGGUGGCCGCUAGGCGUGACAGGAACAAGGUAGUUGUUCCUAAUCCUACGGAACCAAUUACUAUUGAUCCUUGUCUUCGAGCUUUGUACGCAGAAGCGACAGAGCUAGUUGGCAUAUAUGGGAAGAGGGACGAGGAGCUCAUGAGGUUGCUCUCCAUGGAGGGUGAUGAUGCCUCUAAGAACAGACUAAAGAAGGUCUCCAUUGUUGGAUUUGGAGGAUUGGGCAAAACCACUCUUGCUAGAGCAGUAUACGAGAAGAUUAAAGGUGAUUUCGAUUGUCGGGCAUUUGUUCCCGUCGGUCAGAACCCUGACAUGAAGAAGGUUUUAAGGGAUAUCCUCAUUGAUCUCAGCGACGGCAACCCUCAGUCAGAUCUUUCAAUACUGGAUGUUAAUCAUCUUAUUAAAAAGCUUCAUCAAUUCCUGGAGAACAAGAGGUAUCUUGUCAUAAUUGAUGAUAUAUGGGAUGAAAAAUUGUGGGAACACAUCAACUUUGCUUUCUCCAACAGGAAUAAUCUAGGCAGUCGACUAAUUACGACAACCCGCAUUGUCAGUGUCUCCAAUUCAUGUUGCUCGUUGGACCAUGAUUCGGUUUAUCAAAUGGAACCACUUUCUGUUGAUGACUCCAGAAGACUCUUCUACAAAAGAAUAUUUCCAUUCGAGAGUGGAUGUCCAAAUGAAUUUGAACAAGUGUCUACAGAUAUUCUGAAGAAAUGUGGUGGGGUACCACUAGCCAUCAUUACUAUUGCUAGUGCUUUGGCUGGUGGCCAGAAGGUGAAACCAAAGUGUGAGUGGGAUGUUCUGCUCCAAUCCCUUGGCUCUGGACUAACAGAAGAUAAUAGUUUAGAGGAGAUGCGGAGAAUACUCUCUUUCAGCUAUUAUAAUCUACCGUCCCAUCUGAAAACUUGUCUACUAUACCUAUGUAUAUAUCCAGAAGAUAGCACGAUUGAUAGAGAUGGACUGAUAUGGAAGUGGGUGGCCGAAGGAUUUGUCCACCAUGGAGAUCAAGGGACCAGCCUGUUUUUGGUCGGAUUGAACUACUUCAACCAGCUCAUUAAUAGAAGUAUGAUCCAGCCAAUAUAUGAUCCUCUCGGCCAGGUAUAUGCUUGCCGUGUACAUGAUAUGGUUCUGGACCUUAUCUGCAACUUGUCACAUGAAGCAAAGUUUGUUAAUCUAUUGGAUGGCACUGGGAAUCACAUCAUGUCUUCACAAAGUAAUAUUCGUCGUUUGUCUCUUCAGAAUAAAAAUGAAGACCAUCAAGCCAAGCCUCUCACAAAUAUCAUGAGCAUGUCACAAGUGAGGUCAAUUACCAUCUUUCCACCUGCUGUUAGUAUCAUGCCAAGUCUGUCAAUGUUUGAAGUUCUGCGUGUACUUGAUCUGUCGCAUUGUAAUCUGGGAGAAAGUAGCAGCCUGCAGCUUAACCUCAAGGGUGUUGGACACUUAAUUCACCUAAGGUACCUUGGUCUAUCAGGUACCAAAAUCAGUAAGCUUCCGGCUGAGAUAGGAAACCUGCAGUUUUUGGAGGUGUUGGAUCUUGGAAACAAUGAUAAGCUAGAUGAAUUGCCGUCCACUGUUUGUAAUUUGAGAAGAUUAAUCUACCUAAAUGUUUUUUCCAGUAAGGUGGUUCCAACUCCUGGUGUGUUGCAGAAUCUGACAUCCAUUGAAGUGUUGAGGGGAGUCUUGGUCUCUCUGAACAUUAUUGCACAAGAGCUUGGCAAACUGGCAAGGCUGAGGGAGCUUCAGAUUUGCAUCAAGGAUGGUAGUUUGGAUUUGUAUGAAUGUUUUGUGAAGUCUCUGUGCAACCUAGAUCACAUCGAAAGCCUAUAUAUUCGUUGCAAUUCCGAAGAAACAUCUUUUGAACUGAUGGAUCUCUUGGGAGAAUGCUGGGUGCCUCCUGUACAUCUCCGCAAAUUUGUGUCUUCGACGCCUACCCAACUCUAUGCACUGCAAGGGUGGAUAAAGAGAGACCCCUCGCAUCUCUCGAACCUCUCUGAGUUAAUCUUCUAUUCAGUGAAGGAAGUGCAGCAGGAGGACGUGGAAAUCAUUGGGGGGUUGUUGUCCCUUCGCCGUCUCUGCAUAAGGAGCACCCACCAAACACAACGGCUGCUAGUCAUCCGUGCCGAUGGGUUCCGCUGUAUGGUAGACUUUUACUUGAAUUGUGGGUCAGCAGCGCAGAUCAAGUUUGAACCAGGAGCCUUGCCAAGGGCGGAAGAAGUUACGUUCAGCCUGGGCGUGCGGGUGGCGAAAGAGGAUGGAAACUGUGGUUUCGACUUGGGCCUGCAGGGGAACCUGCUCUCCCUUCGGCGGCCGGUCAUGGUUUGGAUGUAUUGUGGUGGAGCGAGGGUUGGGGAGGCAAAGGAAGCGGAGGCUGCGGUGAGGCGCGCCCUCGAAGCCCAUCCCAACCAUCCCAGGAUUUAUAUUGACAUGUGGCCGCGUAUAGCAGAAGAUGCUCAUGAUGACGAUUUGUGUGAGGACGAGGAGAACUGA